AGCGCCCCCUGCCGCGCCUCCCGGGAUCCGCGACGCCCGCCCCGCCCCCGGGCCUGAGAGGGGGCUGGGGUCCCGGGAGGGGGAGGGAACCGCAGCGCCCGCUGCCAGACCGUGAGCCCGGAUCUUGUUAAAGGGACGCGGAUUCCAUCCCUGGUCUGGGAGCUAAGAGCCCACAU